GGCGGGGACUUGAACAUUCCAGGCUCUGUGAACUAAGUGACUGAAGCUGAUUGACACAGGUCAAGGGGACUUCAAGGAAGAAAGCCAGCCUUAGACUGACAUCAGAGAACCAAACUCCGGUGUCUAAGCUCAAGAGGUUAGAAUCCUGAGAACUGUUUGGAAUAAGGAAUCCAAAUAUUGUCUUCCAGCUUCACCUUGUCACGACAGUCCUCGCCAGGGACAGCUGAGGUGGGUUGACUCAUCACAUGACUCUUGACCAAAACCUCAUCUUACGUGACUUCCUUCAGCCUCCCUCCAGCAAAGGAAGAGUUUGACUCUUGUUUUUUCCCCCUAAGGUUUAAUAAAAGCUCCCCAGGCAGUGCUAUUAUUUUUUU
rnacentral:lncRNA from 1 species